CACGCUGGCGGCGUGCCUAAUACAUGCAAGUCGAGCGGAGUGAAUGGGGAGCUUGCUCCCGAUUCACUUAGCGGCGGACGGGUGAGUAACACGUAGGCAACCUGCCCUCAAGACCGGGAUAACAUUCGGAAACGAAUGCUAAGACCGGAUAGACAAUCGCUUCGCAUGGAGAGAUUGGGAAACACGGUGCAAGCUGUGGCUUGGGGAUGGGCCUGCGGCGCAUUAGCUAGUUGGUGGGGUAACGGCUCACCAAGGCGACGAUGCGUAGCCGACCUGAGAGGGUGAACGGCCACACUGGGACUGAGACACGGCCCAGACUCCUACGGGAGGCAGCAGUAGGGAAUCUUCCACAAUGGGCGCAAGCCUGAUGGAGCAACGCCGCGUGAGUGAGGAAGGCUUUCGGGUCGUAAAGCUCUGUUGCCAGGGAAGAAUAAGGGUUAGUUAACUGCUAGCCUGAUGACGGUACCUGAGAAGAAAGCCCCGGCUAACUACGUG
rnacentral:rRNA from 1 species